UUGCGCCUGCGGCGGGCACAGCACGGAAUAUCAUAAUACCUUGCAGGCGGUUUUUCCGUGUACUGUCUUGUCAAUUCCGUAACUUACGGAAUUUAACGUAUUU
rnacentral:sRNA from 1 species